UACAGAGGUCUCGAGCGUUAGGCGGAAUCACUGGGCUUAAAGCGUGUGUAGGUGGAUGCCUAAGUACCUUGUGAAAUCCCAACGGCUUAACCGUGGAACUGCUUGGUAUACUGGGUGGUCUUGAGUCACUCAGGGGCGAGCGGAACAAUGGUGGAGCGGUGAAAUGCGUAGAUAUCAUUUGGAACGCCAAUGGUGAAAACAGCUCGCUGGGGGUGCACUGACACUGAGAACACGAAAGCCAGGGAGCGAACGGGAUUAGACUACCCC
rnacentral:rRNA from 1 species